GGGGGGGGGGGGGCAGCACUGUUUAAGAGGUUCAGUUUCUCCUUUUAAAAAAAAAAAAAAAAAAAAAAAAGAAAAUCAUUAACAAUAAUAUUCAGAUAAAGUCAAUCAAAAAUAGUUUAUUCAGGAAUCAAAAUGCAAACAGGAAUAAAGCAAAUCAAACGCGAUACAUCAGUGAUCUCACAUACAAGUCUCAGUUGAUGGUGUUCUGAGCUGGCAUCAGUGUAGAUGUUAUUUACUUCUCAGCUGAGCUGAGCUUUCAUGGCAUCAGAGAUGUUGGCUGUUUUCUGAGCCAGCAUGGCACAGAGAUGUUAGUUUCUUUGCUGGCAUCAGUGUAGUUUCUGAGCUGAGCCAAGAAAUUACUAUGUACAACACAGAUAUAAAGCUAGCUUAUGUAAUUUCCUUGACCAAAUUUGGCCUUAUUUCCCUAGCACGAUGCAUGGUGUGAGACAAAGCACAUUAAAAGGUAACAUUUGCAUUUCUUCUUCACUUUACCAAUGUCAGCAAAAACCCAGAUAACAAGAAGUUACAUUUAAGAACAAUAUGAGUUUUGCUCAAUUCUCACAGGCAGCAAAGCGUUAUACCCACGCAUCACAAGACUGGUGAUUGCAAACUGCUGAUGUGCACCAGCUAUGUACAGCUUAAAUUUAAGAGUUUAUUAACCCUGCGUUGAUUCAGAGCUUACAUUAAACACAAGAAAAUCACACAUGUUUACAGACAGUUCCAAUGAUUUCUCACUUCCUUCAUCAUUUAAAUGGGAAGCAUAAGUAACGGGUUGCAUAAUGAAAAGGAACAAAGGCUGAUGAAACAUUAAGAGCUUGUGCCAUUUAACUGGAACAAUGUGUACACUGCCCCACGCAAAAUGCAUGUUUAUCAGAAAAAGCCUACAUGUUCCAAUUGUAUGGUGUGUUAUUAAUGCGUUCUGUGACACUAGCCUAAAGUUAUAGCAUGUCACUUUUAACAAAAGUGAUUUUUAAACUGGUUUUAAUUGGUUUGAUUAUGGUUUGUACAUAGGCUCAAAACAGCUUAUUAAGCAGAAACAAAGGUUUUAUCAUCCCUUCAAGGUCACAGCUGCACUUGCUGAGUUAUGAAAAGCCAGUUACUCCCUACAAGGCCAGGGCAAUACAUAGGCAAGAGUAUAAAAACGUUACACUGGUCCACAGUAAUGGUUAGAUCUGAUGACUAGAGCUGGGAAUGGCAGGCUUUGAAUAAUUCUGUUCUAAUAGCAAUGCUUCAAGUAGUUCCGAAAGAUGGAUUUUAAUGAUGGUUAUGUGUGAUAGAGGGGGAGAGGGUUAAUGCAAGAGACUGGUCUGAGGAAUGUGUUUUCCUGCUGUGUGACUGCAGUCCAUCUUUUUUUUUUUUCUGAAAUCUUUGGAGAAACAGAAUAACAGCACACGUUGCACCCUGCCAUUUGCAGUGCAGCGUUUCCCUCAGCAUGUCUCUUGGUGUAAAGUGCAGGCAGCUGGUGGUACAGUAGUUUGUAGCUGUUGGGGGGUGGGUGGAAUGUUUGUGCAUUUUCAUGAGCCUACUGCACAGGAGUGUUUUUGCUACUUUGAGGAGUUGUUGUGUAAGUCCACUAUAUUGUAUACAAAGUAUGUUUUUUUGUUGAAUAAGUGUGCAUGAAACAUUUCCCUUCAAUGACACUGUAGUAUAUCCAUUCAUUUAAGCCCUAGCCUAUAAAACCAUUACAGUCUUGACUUUCUCAACAAUUGUUUGGUUUUUAUCAGAACCAUUCCCCGUUUCUGUUUUUUUUUUUUUUUUUUUUUAAAUCCAGUGUUUUCUUUUCUUAAUGUAAGUUUUAAUUAGAAUUUCUGUUGGAAUUCAUUUUGGUUUUUUUGUGUUCCUGUGUUCAUUUCAUAAACGUUUUAUUUUCUGUUUGUUUGCUGUAGUGUCCCUGGAGUUCUGGCAGACUGAGCCUGAAGGAUCGCUUAGGAAGUUAUUGGCUGGCGAGAUGUUGAGAUAAAUUGGCAUCUCUGACACUGGAACCACAGAGACCAGCAACCUUUUAAUUCACCCAAAGCACUGGGCAAAUUUACUUUCUAGUGCUUGCAGUAUGGGGGUAGAUAAUCUCUUUAAAUACACUACACUGUUCAGUGAAAAAUCAGCAUCACCAUUGAAUCAGGUGGGCAGCCUAGGGUGUGUGAUCUGUCAAGAUCAUGGCCAGGGUGUCAUCAUACACAUUAUCAUUAGCCGUCAGGCGAGUCUUAAGAAAAGAUUUGUUUACCUAUAAAAUACAUUUUGCACGACCACACUCUUAUGAGUUAUACAGUAGCUCUUGUAUCUCAAAUCAAUGUUUUUCUUGUUUUUUUUUUUUUUCCAUCAUUAUUAUUUUUGUUACAGUAUAUAUUUCAUUUAUUGAUUUUUGUUUACUUUCUUCUGUUUCCUUAAAGACAGACAUGCUUCCUACCAUUUACAAAUCACAAACACAGGAGAGACCGCAUGGACCAAGGAAACGCUGUCCAGGUACUGGAAAUAAGGAAUUGUCCCUGACAAUUUAUGGUGUAAAGGUGUUA